rnacentral:rRNA from 1 species
AACGAACGCUGGCGGCAUGCCUAACACAUGCAAGUCGAACUAGACCUUCGGGUCUAGUGGCGCACGGGUGCGUAACGCGUGGGAACCUGCCCUUAGGUUCGGAAUAACUCCCCGAAAGGGGUGCUAAUACCGGAUAAUGUCUUCGGACCAAAGAUUUAUCGCCUUUGGAUGGGCCCGCGUUGGAUUAGCUAGUUGGUAGGGUAAAAGCCUACCAAGGCGACGAUCCAUAGCUGGUCUGAGAGGAUGAUCAGCCACACUGGGACUGAGACACGGCCCAGACUCCUACGGGAGGCAGCAGUGGGGAAUAUUGAACAAUGGGCGAAAGCCUGAUCCAGCAAUGCCGCGUGAGUGAUGAAGGCCGUAGGGUUGUAAAGCUCUUUUACCCGGGAUGAUAAUGACAGUACCGGGAGAAUAAGCGCCGGCUAACUCCGUG